rnacentral:ncRNA from 1 species
GGAACUUAGAAGUUCUUAAUGUUCUGUUCAUGCUCAGCAAUGUUUGAACACGAUGUUCAAACAAGCCGCCACUGAGCCACGGAUGGCGAAUUGGCGGCGGUUGCGUUCGGUAUCAUGGUGUAAAUCAGAACAUUUAGAACUUCUUAGUUUCA